CGGGACGGGUGAGUAACGCGUGGGUAACCUGCCUCAUACAGGGGGAUAACGGUUAGAAAUGACUGCUAAUACCGCAUAAGCGCACAGUACCGCAUGGUACGGUGUGAAAAACUCCGGUGGUAUGAGAUGGACCCGCGUCUGAUUAGCUAGUUGGUGGGGUAACGGCCCACCAAGGCGACGAUCAGUAGCCGACCUGAGAGGGUGACCGGCCACAUUGGGACUGAGACACGGCCCAG
rnacentral:rRNA from 1 species